rnacentral:lncRNA from 7 species
CAGGAAUCCUCUGCCUUUGAGGAAGAAUAUUCCAGCUCUCUGUCUGAGAGCGAGACAGAGCAGUCCAGCUCCAGCUGCAGCUCCAGCCACAGCCUGAUCAAGAGGAUGAUGGGGGAGCAGGAAGAGGCCGAGGAGGAGCCACCCAGAGUCUCCUGGGACAGCGCUCAUUUCCCAAAACGGAGGCUUACUCCAGUGACAGAAGAGACCCUGCGGGAGGUGGUGAAGUGCAUUGUGGAGCAAGUGGCCCGUGAGCAGCAGGGACAGAGAGAUGCAGAGAAGGAUCUGCAGGGCCGGCUCCAGAGCGAGCUCGCAGUGCUGCGGUGGAGUCAGUGGAGUCGGUCAGCAAGAGAAACACCCAGCAUCUUUUCUCUGUCAGGACCUCAGUAUAGACCUGCACCCCCUCCUGGGCCAAGGCCGGGCAAGGCAGCACGGAACUACAGAGCUUCACGCUGAACUCCUUAGGCCCGGAGAGUAGUUCCUGCGCACGUCAACAAGGAGCACGAGAGAUCUGCCAGCACUGAGACUCCCGAGACAGACAUCCAGCAAGUGUCACCCUCAAUGAGGACCCUCAAUGAGGACCCUCAAUGAGGCUCAGUGAGGACCACCGUUCACUUCUGGCGACGUUAACGGUGACACUCUGAAAGGCGCGUCGCCACUUUCCCUGUCACCCUUUCCCUAUACCCAAUAAAACC